ACGGAAGGCAGCAGUGGGGAAUAUUGCACAAUGGGGGAAACCCUGAUGCAGCGACGCCGCGUGAGUGAAGAAGUAUUUCGGUAUGUAAAGCUCUAUCAGCAGGGAAGAAAAUGACGGUACCUGACUAAGAAGCCCCGGCUAACUACGUGCCAGCAGCCGCGGUAAUACGUGGGGGCAAGCGUUAUCCGGAUUUACUGGGUGUAAAGGGAGCGCAGACGGCGAUGUAAGUCUGAAGUGAAAGCCCGCGGCUCAACUGCGGGACUGCUUUGGAAACUAUAUUGCUUGAGUGUCGGAGGGGCAAGCGGAAUUCCAUGUGUAGCGGUGAAAUGCGUAGAUAUAUGGAAGAACACCGGUGGCGAAGGCGGCUUGCUGGACGAUAACUGACGUUGAGGCUCGAAGGCGUGGGGAGCAAACAGGAUUAGAUACCCUGGUA
rnacentral:rRNA from 1 species